AUCCACCUGACGAGUCGCAAAUAGGACUAAACGUACAUCAUGGAU
rnacentral:hammerhead_ribozyme from 1 species